AUUGAACGCUGGCGGCAGGCCUAACACAUGCAAGUCGAGCGGAGCGGCGGACGGGUGAGUAAGGCCUAGGUAGCUGCCUGGUAGAGGGGGAUAACGUACGGACAGGGGCGCUAAUACCGCAUACUAUCAGAUGAGCCUAGGUCGGAUUAGCUAGUUGGGGGGGUAAAGGCCUACCAAGGCGACGAUCCGUAACUGGUCUGAGAGGCGGAUCAGUCACACUGGAACUGAGACACGGUCCAGACUCCUACGGGAGGCAGCAGUGGGGAAUAUUGGACAAUGGGCGCAAGCCUGAUCCAGCCAUGCCGCGUGUGUGAAGAAGGUCUUAGGAUUGUAAAGUACUUUAAGUUGGGAGGCGUUACCAGCAGAAGAAGCACCGGCUAACUUCGUGCCAGCAGCCGCGGUAAUAC
rnacentral:rRNA from 1 species